GCUUCUGCAGUCCCUGCCCUUCCUGGAGCAACCCGUGCUUUGGAAAAAUGACCGUGCCAAAGGGGAACUAACACUCUCAGCCCAGGGCAGGUCUUGUCAAUCUGAUUUUUAAAUGAUGGAGGAGGUUUGAGGACAAAGCUCAUGGUGGCAUCACCGCUAUCUGGGAGGAUGCAAAGAUCAAGUGGCAAGGAGGAAAGGAGCCUUUGAAUGUGAGCACAUUCACAGACUCAGAGGACAGAGAGGUAUUUAAAGUGAACUGGAACAAACCUGCAACAUCAGGUGCGUUCUGCCUUCAAAAAUAGCUGCCAGUUAGAAAGGGUUAUUUACAUAUUGAUUUCAUGCUAACUUUGUAAUGGAAUGUGCUGCCUGCCUGCCUGAGACCUAACAACUGUCAUCAUAAUUUUUUCUAAAAAUACAGUCAGAGAAAAACACUCUUUGAACCCUGCACUGGAAAGUGGCUGCGAAAGACCCCAAUCCCAAACCUGCCCAGCAGACCACCACCAAGGGCAGGGUCCCUCAGCAACUGUAACAAGAGGAACAUUUCACAGUUACAGCCGCACUCCAGCCAACUGGCACGCUAUUUUUUUUUUUUUGUCUUUCUAGAAAACCUGUCUUGUUCAAAGGCCUGAUGGCGCUGAUUCGGUUGUGAUCCUGGGCAUAUGGAUGGCAUAUUUGCUGCGAGCUAGCCGGCCCCCGCUGCUGGGGACAAAUCUUUCAUUCAUGAACAGAAGCUUGUUAGGCCGGCUCCCGCCUCUAAAGCCACUUAAUUAAAUUGCGGAAAGU